UCCCUAAUUUCCUAACUUCCCAGUCACCAAUUUGAGCACUCCCUGACUCGCCGCCACUCCACUUCUUUUCCCGCUCUCGAUUUCCUUCUCCAUCUCUAUCGGUUAAACUCUCCAAAUAAAAACCCUAUCAACCCUCUUCGUUGCUGCCACCACAUCGAAACCCUAGAAAUCUCUGCAGCUCGAGCUCGGCAUCGAUGGCGGAUCCAACGAUCUUCAGCGGAUGGGACGCUAAUCAAGCUCAUGAACCUGGCUGGAGGCUCUACAAUCCCUACCAGGACCUUCAGUUCUCGCGUCAAAUCGUGAAUGACUUGCGGACUUCACCGGAGAUCCUUUUCCAUGAAGAAUCCAUACGCCAGCACCGGUCCAGGGGCGAGAAGCUCACCUACUGCACCGGUGUGUGUUACCUCGCCGGUGUUGUGGCCGGUGGAUCAAUCGGGCUUCGUGAUGGCCUUCUUGCUGUGGAGCAGGGAGACAACUUAAAGCUCUGGAUCAACCGUGUUGCUCCGUAUCAACCAAGUUCUAACUUCUAAGUGGUUGUUACUAAGAGGUUAUUACAACAUCAAUGGCAUUCUCAUGGAGGAGGAGCCUAUGUCAGUUGUUUUCCAAGUUGGAGCAAAUGGGGUUGGGUUGCUGGAUCCUGGUUCAGAAGCAAAUAAUGGUGAAAAGGGUACCGAAGUUGAUCUCCCCUUUUGGCUUGCUCAUGAGUUAUACUUGAGGCAAGCAGCGUCAAUAAAUGUGUGUGUUUGCUUCAAUCAAAAGGCUGCUUUCGGAGAACAUAAGAGAAUGCAGAAUAAGAAAGCUCUCUCACUGAAGAAACAGAGACAGUUGGGACUGAUCAUCAGGCCUUAUAGAAGACCAGAAUGGGCACAAAGAGCAUGAGGAGGGUACCAGACGCUUGAUUCUAUGCUUGGGAAAGAACCAGAAGCGGUUUAAUUAGUGUCAGGAAGAGCCCAUAAAUUUGGGUGCAUACCAUUAUAUUGCAACAAAUCCGCAUACGACAAUGAAGGCAAUGGGUAGAGCUUCAAUUAAGGACAUCAAAUAUGUUGGUAGACCUCCAUCUGCAGCCAUAGCCACCUGUUUCCAUUCAAGUUCACUUUUUUUGCCAAGAGCUUAAGGAUCUUAUCCAGAAUGAAGUGCAACCAGAGCCUAUCAACCAUUCUCAAUGGAGCUAACGAGGAUCACCACAUGGUACGGUUUUCUUUCCUAGUUCUUGUUUCCUCUUCUUUCUUUCUCUCUGCCACUCUGAUGAUCAUGUUAAAUAAUUCAAUUUUGAUUUACUGGAAGUUGGAACAUGGAAUUUUAAUCUGAAUUUCAUUAUAUAUGGUGUAUGUAUUAGUCAGGUUAUAAAAUUUGAUACUGUUUAGUUUGUUUUCACCAAUUUAGUUUGACAACAAUAGUAACAAAAAGGAUUUCUAAGGGUGUGCUUCUGUUUUGGUGCGCCUAAACCUCACCAACCCUGGAGAAGUUUAAUAAGAUUAUGAGAAAUAAAGCUAAAGAAUUCAAGAGUGCAGAGAGAGCUUAUGAUUAUCAUAUAUAUAAUAAUAUAUAUAUUGAGAGUGAGAGAGAGAGAGAGAGAGAGAGAGAGCAUUUGACAAGCUAUCAAAUUAACACUGCUUAUUUUCAUUGGAGUCCAACACUAGUUUUUCACUAGACUAUUAGUAUUUAACAAGCUAGAGAGAGAGAGAGAGAGAGAGAGAGAGAGAGAGAGCAUUCAACAAGCUAUCAAAUUAACACUGCUUAUUUUCAUUGGUGUCCAACAUUAGUUUUUCACUAGACUAUUAGUAUUUAUGAUUAAACUCCUGUCAGCAAGCAUUUGGGCAGAAUAGGUUAUUGUGGAAAAUUAUUUUCCUCUGUGUUAGAACGGGGGGUAUAAUUAUUUAUAAUACUUGGAUAUUUGCAUUUGAUCAUUUAUAUCUUGUUAGAUUUUCUUAUUAUUUUUUAACACUAGUUUUUUCCCCAUCCCGUCAGUGCUUCUAAAAUAACCCAAAUAGGCCCUACUAUCUUUUUUAUCUGAAUCCUCAGGUAGUUUUGAAAUUUUCAAUUGUUUGCAAUUUGAGACCGUCUAAAAUAAAAACUGAAAACUUCGUCUUAUGUUGAAAAACCAUUUAUGGUAAACAUCAUUUUGGAAAACUUAGGGUCCAUUUGGCAAUGCUUUGGAUUUUUUGGUUUUUAACUUUUUAAAAGCUAAUUUAAAAACCAAAAGCUGUUUCUUUUUCUUGUUUUUAAAAAGUUUUAAAGAGAAUAUAUGUUGGUUUCCGGAAAAAAAUCAGCUGGCAGCUGGUGUUGUUCAGUUUGACACUACCCAAAACCACUUUUUGGCUGCUAGUGAAGAAAAUCAAAUAAAGUUUUGGGAUGUGGACAAUGUGAGCAUGCUCACAAGCACAGAUGCAGAUGGUGGACUUCAGGUCAGUUUUUAUAUUAUUGCCAUAGAAUUAUAUAAAUAUAUUGCAAGGUCUUUGACUCAUUAGCAUUAA